AUUGAACGCUGGCGGCAGGCCUAACACAUGCAAGUCGAGCGGUUGAGGUAGCUUGCUACCGAUGCAGCGGCGGACGGGUGAGUAAUACAUGGGAAUCUGCCUGGUAGUGGGGGACAACGUUUCGAAAGGAACGCUAAUACCGCAUACGCCCUACGGGGGAAAGGGGGGGAUCGCAAGACCUCUCGCUAUCAGAUGAGCCCAUGUCGGAUUAGCUUGUUGGUGAGGUAAAGGCUCACCAAGGCGACGAUCCGUAACUGGUCUGAGAGGAUGAUAAGUCACACUGGAACUGAGACACGGUCCAGACUCCUACGGGAGGCAGCAGUGGGAAAUAUUGGACAAUGGGCGCAAGCCUGAUCCAGCCAUGCCGCGUGUGUGAAGAAGGCCUUAGGGUUGUAAAGCACUUUCAGUGGGGAGAAAGGUCAUUCACCUAAUACGUGAGUGAAUUGAUGUUACCCACAGAAGAAGCACCGGCUAACUCCGUGCCAGCCGCCGCGGUAA
rnacentral:rRNA from 1 species